rnacentral:rRNA from 1 species
UGAGGAAUAUUGGUCAAUGGACGAGAGUCUGAACCAGCCAAGUAGCGUGCAGGAUGACGGCCCUAUGGGUUGUAAACUGCUUUUGUUUGGGAAUAAUCUACAUUACGUGUAAUGUUUUGCAUGUACCAUUCGAAUAAGGACCGGCUAAUUCCGUGCCAGCAGCCGCGGUAAUACGGAAGGUCCAGGCGUUAUCCGGAUUUAUUGGGUUUAAAGGGAGUGUAGGCGGUUGGUUAAGCGUGUUGUGAAAUGUAGAUGCUCAACAUCUGACUUGCAGCGCGAACUGGCUGACUUGAGUACACACAACGUAGGCGGAAUUCAUGGUGUAGCGGUGAAAUGCUUAGAUAUCAUGAAGAACUCAGAUUGCGAAGGCAGCUUACGGGAGUGUUACUGACGCUUAAGCUCGAAGGUGCGGGUAUCGAACAGG